AUUGAACGCUGGCGGCAGGCCUAACACAUGCAAGUCGAGCGGAUGAAGGGAGCUUGCUCCUGGAUUCAGCGGCGGACGGGUGAGUAAUGCCUAGGAAUCUGCCUGGUAGUGGGGGAUAACGUCCGGAAACGGGCGCUAAUACCGCAUACGUCCUGAGGGAGAAAGUGGGGGAUCUUCGGACCUCACGCUAUCAGAUGAGCCUAGGUCGGAUUAGCUAGUUGGUGGGGUAAAGGCCUACCAAGGCGACGAUCCGUAACUGGUCUGAGAGGAUGAUCAGUCACACUGGAACUGAGACACGGUCCAGACGCCUACGGGAGGGAGCAGUGGGGAAUAGUGGACAAUGGGCGAAAGCCUGAUCCAGCCAUGCCGCGUGUGUGAAGAAGGUCUUCGGAUUGUAAAGCACUUUAAGUUGGGAGGAAGGGCAGUAAGUUAAUACCUUGCUGUUUUGACGUUACCAACAGAAUAAGCACCGGCUAACUUCGUG
rnacentral:rRNA from 1 species